CUCGAGGUGUAUUAGUGCCUUGAGUGCGGGAAAUGUCUCGGAUCGCUGAGCCGCUGCAGGAACAGGAACAUGUAACAUCUUCCCGAAGGUGAACGUUUCCUUUAACUCUUUCACUGACAGAGCUGUAUUUGCGUUUUUUGCCCACAUUUAAA